GACGAACGCUGGCGGCGUGCCUAACACAUGCAAGUCGAGCGGUAAGGCCCUUUCGGGGGUACACGAGCGGCGAACGGGUGAGUAACACGUGGGUGACCUGCCCUCAGCUCUGGGAUAAGCCUGGGAAACUGGGUCUAAUACCGGAUAUGACUCCAUGACGCAUGUUGUGGGGUGAAAGCCUUGUGCGGCUGAGGAUGGGCCCGCGGCCUAUCAGCUUGUUGGUGGGGUGANGGCCUACCAAGGCGACGACGGGUAGCCGGCCUGAGAGGGCGACCGGCCACACUGGGACUGAGACACGGCCCAGACUCCUACGGGAGGCAGCAGUGGGGAAUCUUGCGCAAUGUGCGAAAGCCUGACGCAGCGACGCCG
rnacentral:rRNA from 1 species